ACGUAUGGUGCAAGCGUUAUCCGGAUUUACUGGGUGUAAAGGGAGUGUAGACGGAGUGGCAAGUCUGAUGUGAAAACCCGGGGCUCAACCCCGGGACUGCAUUGGAAACUGUCAAUCUAGAGUACCGGAGAGGUAAGCGGAAUUCCUAGUGUAGCGGUGAAAUGCGUAGAUAUUAGGAGGAACACCAGUGGCGAAGGCGGCUUACUGGACGGUAACUGACGUUGAGGCUCGAAAGCGUGGGGAGCAAACAG
rnacentral:rRNA from 1 species